rnacentral:rRNA from 1 species
GAUUAACGCUGGCGGCGUGCAUAACACAUGCAAGUCGAACGAUGAAACUUAAAUGAUUUCUUCGGAAUGAACUUAAGUGGAUUAGUGGCGGACGGGUGAGUAACGCGUGAGUAACCUGCCUUACACAAGGGGAUAGCCGUUGGAAACGACGAAUAAUACCCUAUGAAACUAUCACUUCGCAUGAAGCGAUAGUCAAAGUGUUAGCGGUGUAAGAUGGACUUGCGUCUGAUUAGCUAGUUGGUGAGAAAAAAGCCCACCAAGGCAACGAUCAGUAGCCGGCUUGAGAGAGUGUACAGCCACAUUGGGACUGGGACACGGCCCAGACUCCUACGGGAGGCAGCAGUGGGGAAUUUUGCACAAUGAGGGAGACCCUGAUGCAGCGACGCCGCGUGAUUUAGAAGGCCUUCGGGUUGUAAAAAUCUUUUGUAUAGGAAGAAAAUGACAGUACUAUACGAAUAAGGUCCGGCUAAUUACGUG